AAACUGCGAAUGGCUCAUUAAAACAGUUAUCGUUUACUUGGCGGUCAUUCUCUACAAGGAUACCUAUGGUAAUUCUAGAGCUAAUACAUGCUUACAAGCUCGACUUCACGGAAGAGCUGCAGUUAUUAGAUCCCGAACUGACCCAGGUUUUCCUGGACUCAAGUUGAUUCAUAGUAACCGAGCGAAUCGUUAUAUGCGAUUGGCCAAUCAAGUUUCUGACCUAUCAGCUUCCGACGGUAGGGUAUUGGCCUACCGUGGCUUUGACGGGUAACGGAGAAUUAGGGUUCGAUUCCGGAGAGGGAGCCUGAGAAACGGCUACCACAUCUAAGGAAGGCAGCAGGCGCGUAAAUUACCCAAUCCUGAUACAGGGAGGUAGUGACAAGAAAUACCAAUACAAGGCUUUGAUGUUUUGUAAUUGGGAUGAGUAGAAUUUAAACCGCGAUACGAGUAUCAAUUGGAGGGCAAGUCUGGUGCCAGCAGCCGCGGUAAUUCCAGCUCCAAUAGCGUAUAUUAAAAUUGUUGCGGUUAAAACGCUCGUAGUUGAAUAUUUGCUGAGAAUCGCCGGUCCAUCCUAGAGAUGAGUAUCCGGCACGUUUUCAGCACUUCAUUGGGGAUUGUGUUUGCACUUUAUUGUGUGGCAUAGGAACCAAUUCUUUUACUUUGAGGAAAUGAGAGUGUUUCAAGCAGGCGUUUGUCGUGAAUACGUUAGCAUGGAAUAAUAACACAGGACCUGGUUCCGAAGUUGUUGGUUUUUGGAGCGAGGUAAUCAAAAUAGGGAUAGUUGGGGGCAUUCGUAUUUAACUGUCAGAGGUGAAAUUCUUGGAUUUUUUAAAGACGAACUACUGCGAAAGCAUCUGCCCAGGAUGUUUUUAUUAAUCAAGAACGAAAGUUAGGGGAUCGAAGACGAUCAGAUACCGUCCUAGUCUUAACCAUAAACUAUGCCGACUAGAGAUUGGGGACGUCAGACUCUUGACGUCCUCAGCACCUUAUGAGAAAUCAAAGUCUUUGGGUUCCGGGGGGAGUAUGGUCGCAAGGCUGAAACUUAAAGGAAUUGACGGAAGGGCACCACCAGGAGCGGAGCCUGUGGCUUAAUUUGACUCAACACGGGAAAACUUACCAGGUCCAGACAUAGGUAGGAUUGACAGACUGAUAGCUCUUCCUUGAUUCUAUGGGUGGUGGUGCAUGGCCGUUCUUAGUUGGUGGAGUGAUUUGUCUGGUUAAUUCCGUUAACGAACGAGACCUUAGCCUGCUAAAUAAUUACCGAAACCUCAGGGUCUCGGGAUAAUUUCUUAGAGGGACUUUGUGUGUGUAACACAAGGAAGUGUGAGGCAAUAACAGGUCUGUGAUGCCCUUAGAUGUUCUGGGCUGCACGCGCGCUACACUGAUGCGUCCAACAAGUGCCUAACCUAGUCCGACAGGAACGGGUAAUCUUGUCAACGCGCAUCGUGAUGGGGAUAGAUUAUUGCAAUUAUUGAUCUUGAACGAGGAAUUCCUAGUAAGCGUAAGUCAUUAGCUUGCGCUGAUUACGUCCCUGCCCUUUGUACACACCGCCCGUCGCUCCUACCGAUUGAGUGGUCCGGUGAAUAAUUCGGACGGUGGCUUGGUUCAGUCUGGACCCAGCUGCUGAAAGUCUAGUAAACCUUAUCACUUAGAGGAAGGAGAAGUCG
rnacentral:rRNA from 1 species